ensembl:snRNA U6 U6 spliceosomal RNA
GUGUUCACUUUGGCAACACAUAUACUAAAAUUGGAACGAUAGAGAAGAUUAGCAUGGCCCCUGCACAAGGAUGACAUGCAAAUUUGCGAAGUGUUCCAUAUUUUU